rnacentral:rRNA from 1 species
CACCCAGGACGGUGGAUCACUCGGCUCGUGGGUCGAUGAAGAACGCAGCAAAUUGCGCGUCGACAUGUGAACAGCAGGACACAUGAACAUCGACAUUUCGAACGCACAUUGCGGUCCAUGGAUUCCGUUCCCGGGCCACGUCUGGCUGAGGGUCG